UCAAUCAGACAUGUGCCUUGAUGUAAUGCU
rnacentral:piRNA from 3 species